UGAGAGCGGCGUACGGAUGCGGAACACGUGUGCACUGCCUUUAUCUGGGGGAUAGCCUUUCGAAAGGAAGAUUAAUACCCCAUAAUAUGUUGAAUGGCAUCAUUCGACAUUGAAAACUCCGGUGGAUAGAGAUGGGCACGCGCAAGGUUAGAUAGCUGGUGAGGUAACGGCUCACCAAGUCUACGAUCUUUAGGGGGCCUGAGAGGGUGAUCCCCCACACUGGUACUAAGACACGGGCCCGACUCCUACGGGAGGCAGCAGUAAGGAAUAUUGGUCAAUGGACGAAAGUCUGAACCAGCCAUGCCGCGUGGAGGAUGAAGGCCCUCUGGGUUGUAAACUUCUUUUAUUUGGGACGAAAAAAGGGAAUUCUUUCUCGUCUGACGGUACCAGAUGAAUAAGCACCGGCUAACUCCGUGCCAGCAGCCGCGGUAAUACGGAGGGUGCAAGCGUUAUCCGGAUUCACUGGGUUUAAAGGGUGCGUAAGCGGGCAGGUAAGUCAGUGGGUGGAAAUCCCCGGAGCUUAAACUCGGGGAACUGCAUUUGGAUACUAAUCUGUCUUGAAUAUUGUGGAGGGUGAGCGGAAAUAUGUUCCUUGUACGG
rnacentral:rRNA from 1 species